ensembl:lncRNA
GGGCCACCCGGCUUCCCCGUCCUGCGGGAGGCUCAAGGAGGACAGCAGGUACAUCUUCUUCAUGGAGCCGGAGACGAACAGCAGCAGCAGCAGCCGCGCACCGGCCGCCUUCCGAGCCUCUUCCGGAACCUCAAGAAAGGGGUAGGCCGAUGCUGUGGAAGCGGUGUGACAAACAGCAGGACCGUGGUCAGCAGGAUGACGAUGCAGAGGAGGGUGGCCGCAGUGGCGCCUGUGCCCAGACCAGCCACUGCCUCUGCACCAAUGACGGUGCAGUCCCCGUUCUCGUCACACGGGCACACCUGGACCUUGAUGAUGGACAGGUUGGACAGCGGGGGUUCCCAGAGUCUGUGACGAUGAUGAGGACGUCGUACAUCCCGGGUCCAGGUACAGGACGUGCAAGCUGAGCUGAGCGUAGUCACCGUUCGGGCGUGUGAUGGUCCAGUUCUUGCGCACGGCGGCCGGGACUAAAGGCAGCUCAAAGACGUAGGGUCUGAUGUUGGGGUCGGCGUCGGCGGCCGUGAUGUUGAUGGCAUUCAGGUUGGGCUUUGCGCAGAUCUGCGCCUCCUUGGGCAGCAGCUCUGGGGCGUUGUCAUUGAUGUCGAUGAGAUAGAACUGCAGGGUCCCGGUGCCGCUGGCUGCAGGGAUCCCAUUGUCAGCUGCCAGGAAGGCGGCCUCGUAGACGUUGUUGCUGAUGUACAGGGACUCGCGGUCCAGCACGGCGGCCGUGCUGAUGUGCAGCCAGUUUGCCGGGUCUGACAGCCCCGAGUAUCUCACUGCCUGCUGCAUGACGCGGUCGGGGUCCACGGCGGGAAAGGUGGUGAGCACGGUGCCGGGGGCACGCCCUCCUCCAGGCGGAUCAGCUGGUGGUUGGAGGGGAAGUAGGGCGCCUCGUCGAUGUCCAUGACAGAGAUGGUCACCCCCGCCGUGGACUGGAAGGGCAUCCAGGGAUCUAUAUUCAGUAAGUAAAAAGACUCCUAUAUUUACUCUAAUUCAGCAUAACUUCUAUAUAAAGCUGGCUGACGGUGUUAUAAUGUUGCUGAAAUUUGGCUAGAUAUAGAGAAUAGAAUUUAUUGAUUUGAAAUUAUAAUUAUUGAAAGAAAAUAUAAUUGAUGAUAUAGGUAUAAAAAAUCGUCAUUUGAAAUUUGGUUUAUGUAGCAACACACACAGAGACACACACACACAGUCUCACCUAAAUUUCUGAGUAUGGCUGAAGACUAAUGAUUUCUGGUCUAAAGGAAACGAUAUUGUUAGUUAUUUCUCCUCUAUGGGAAAUCAUGGGGAUGUAGGCAAGUUACAAAAGCCUCUGUCUUGGCUAUGAUUUCCAAAAAAAGAGGGGGUUGGAGGAGAUUAACUCUAGAAUUCUUUCUGAGUCUAAAACUUCUUCCUUUUCUAGAACUCAUUGUUUCAAUCAUUCUUGCCAUUCUGCAUUUUUAAUACAAUUCAUUUUAAUUGAACCCUAAGUAAAAACAAUAUCAGAAUAUUUAUUUCUCACAUUUCUCAAAUACAGUUUUAAUGAGGAUCUCUGAAGAAUCAAUGUAGGGUUUAGGGAAUAAAGAAGAAAAAAAUAGAAACA